rnacentral:piRNA from 1 species
GACCUGUAAUCUUUAAAAGUGCUA